CAGUCGCCGCGGGAAUACGGAGGGUGCAAGCGUUAAUCGGAAUUACUGGGCGUAAAGCGCACGCAGGCGGUCUGACAAGUCAGAUGUGAAAUCCCCGGGCUUAACCUGGGAACUGCAUUUGAAACUGUCAGGCUGGAGUCUUGUAGAGGGGGGUGGAAUUCCAGGUGUAGCGGUGAAAUGCGUAGAGAUCUGGAGGAAUACCGGUGGCGAAGGCGGCCCCAUGGACAAAGACUGACGCUCAGUUGCGAAAGCGUGGGGAGCAAACAGGAUUAGAUACCCGUGUAGUCCCUGUCUCUUAACA
rnacentral:rRNA from 1 species